rnacentral:rRNA from 1 species
GACGAACGCUGGCGGCGUGCUUAACACAUGCAAGUCGAGCGGUAAGGCCCUUUCGGGGGUACACGAGCGGCGAACGGGUGAGUAACACGUGGGUGACCUGCCCUUAGCUCUGGGAUAAGCCUGGGAAACCGGGUCUAAUACCGGAUAUGACUCCGCGGCGCAUGUUGUGGGGUGGAAAGCCUUGUGCGGCUGGAGAUGGGCCCGCGGCCUAUCAGCUUGUUGGUGGGGUGAUGGCCUACCAAGGCGACGACGGGUAGCUGGCGUGAGAGCGCGACCAGCCACACUGGGACUGAGACACGGCCCAGACUCCUACGGGAGGCAGCAGUGGGGAAUCUUGCGCAAUGGGCGAAAGCCUGACGCAGCGACGCCGCGUGCGGGAAGAAGGCCUU